rnacentral:lncRNA from 1 species
UUAUGCUUGGUAGAAGCUCCUAUAGAUUUGGGAUUUCUUAUUUAUAUUGUUUCUUGAACCCAUUACGCAUUGUUUUUCAAGAAAUAACAUAUUGUUUUUCAAUAAAAUGUUAUUUCGUUUUUUCCAAGUAAGCAUUGGGCUUAUGGGAAGAUUGAAGUUAGAUUUGAUUCUUUAAGUUUAGAUCAACUUUUACUUGCCCGUGUGUUUUUUUAGAAAAUGAAGAUGAGGUUUUUUAACCUGACAAGAAAGCACAAAUCAUUACCUCUGAUUUCAUUUACUUCGUACUUGUUUCUUCUUGAUUUUGCCAUUUUUUUUUUCAUUUUGGGUAUUCUUAACAUACUAUGUUUAAAGGUUUUAAUGGUUUUAUGAUUGGCCAUUUUUUUGUUAUAAGUAUUAUUGUAAUUUCUUUUUCUCAAAUUUUUCCUCAAUAAAAUUUUCUAUUUCUGUAGGUAAUUACACUGAUGAUGUAAACUGCAUGCUUUCUGACUUUAUUUAAAUUAGACCAACAAAGCACAUUCUUCCUCAGGUUCUUGCUUUGUACCAUAAGUCUCUAUUAGUAAAUGUUUUAUUGAUGUGCAUGGUGGUGUUUCGUUUUUUGUUCAUAAUAGUAUUUCUAAUGAUAGAAACCUUAAUCAUGAAUAGGCAACGAAUAAGCUCAUUUCAGCAUGUUUUUGCUCAACUUGGACAGAGAGAGAUCUUGUAUCUCUUUUAUUUUGUUUGUGUGUUUAAUUCAGGUUUUGAAGGGAGACAUAAUCUGGUGAGGUUUGUAAAACUAUUCAGAAAGCAGGAAUAUAUCUUUUUGGAGUGUAUGUUUUUGCAUAAUGUAAUUUUGGAUUAUUAUAAAGCUCUUGCCUAGCUAGAUCUAUGUUCCAAACAGGAUUUGUGCAUAACCGGUAAAGUUUACACCUAAGGGGAUGUGUUCUUAAUUUAUUAAUGUUUUUUUUUUUUUAUAGAUUAUUUGAAGCAGCAUCGAUCUCUUCGCUAAAACUUUGGAAGGUUUGUGCAUAUUAUUUUUUCUUAUUUGUAUGGUUGUAUUAUAUGUUUCUUUUGUUUCGAGAAUUCAAUAUCUACUGUAUAUGUUGUUGUUCUAUUUAUUUUAUUUUUUAAUGCACCUUAUCCUAUAAUA